CCGGACAUGCAGCACGCUUUAAAAGAUUGAGGAAACGAAUGCAUUUCUGCAUAUUUCGUUUCAUCCUCAUCAAAGCUUCAUCCCAAACACAAACAGAAAGAUGGAUCCGCCAAGUGUAGAUGAACAAGAUCUGGUCAAGAACAAACCUUCAUCGAGUGUGCAUAGUAGAAAGAAAAGGCAACUUAUCGAUCUUCCAACAAAUGGAAACGUAGACAUUAAUGGAGAGCCAACCGAAACGUUCAAUUGAGAAACCCAAAUAAACAUGUAUUUAACAAACAACAAAAAUAAACACUUAUUUAUAUAUUUAUAAUAUAAAUAAUCGCUUUUUAAUUAUACACUACGUAAAUUUUCUAAAGUCUAUUUUAAGCAUUUUUUUAUAGAUCGAUGCAGUAGUGAAUUUUUAGUCAACUUCUAAAAAUACCCAAUUGCUUUGUCUAAAAGUAUUAGAUGAUCAUGUGAUGUUUUCACUUAUUUUUAGGCCCUUAUUGCAGUGCGUCUUCCAAUAUUAACUAAUUGUUAUCGAUUAAAGCAUCAUUACUAACUUUAAUUAAAUUGUGUAAUAAGCACUCUUAAAUUGCACACUCCCCCACUUUAGAUCCAAGUUUUAGCUAUAUAUACGGUAGCGAUAAUUUCAGUUUUAAUUUAACAAGAGUUUUCAGUCUCAGAAGAUCAUCAAAGGGCAAAAUAUGGAUCCUCAAGACUCUAAGGAUAAGCAGGAUACGGCUAAACCGGAGAUCAAGAGCAGGAA